UGUGCCUACGGGAGGCAGCAGUGAGGAAUGUUGGUCAAUGGGCGGAAGCCUGAACCAGCCAAGUCGCGUGAGGGAAUAAGGCCCUACGGGUCGUAAACCUCUUUUGCCGGGGAGCAAGGGCGGGGACGUGUCCCGGCCCGGAGAGUACCCGGAGAAAAAGCAUCGGCUAACUCCGUGCCAGCAGCCGCGGUAAUACGGAGGAUGCGAGCGUUAUCCGGAUUUAUUGGGUUUAAAGGGUGCGUAGGCGGACUGGAAAGUCAGCGGUAAAAUCGAGAGGCUCAACCUCUUUCCGCCGUUGAAACUGU
rnacentral:rRNA from 1 species